rnacentral:rRNA from 1 species
AUUGAACGCUGGCGGCAGGCUUAACGCAUGCAAGUCGAGCGGGGUGAUGGUGCUUGCACUAUCACUUAGCGGCGGACGGGUGAGUAAUGCUUAGGAAUCUGCCUAUUAGUGGGGGACAACAUCUCGAAAGGGAUGCUAAUACCGCAUACGUCCUACGGGAGAAAGCAGGGGAUCUUAGGACCUUGCGCUAAUAGAUGAGCCUAAGUCGGAUUAGCUAGUUGGUGGGGUAAAGGCCUACCAAGGCGACGAUCUGUAGCGGGGCUGAGAGGAUGAUCCGCCACACUGGGACUGAGACACGGCCCAGACUCCUACGGGAGGCAGAAGUGGGAGAUAUUGGACAAUGGGGGGAACCCUGAUCCAGCCAUGCCGCGUGUGUGAAGAAGGCCUUAUGGUUGUAAAGCACUUUAAUCGAGGAGGAGGCUACUCUAGUUAAUACCUAGGGAUAGUGGACGUUACUCGCAGAAUAAGCACCGGCUAACUCUGUGCCAGCAGCCGCGGUAA